AGAGUUUGAUCCUGGCUCAGGACGAACGCUGGCGGCGUGCCUAAUGCAUGCAAGUCGAACGAAGCUUUCUUUCACCGAAUGCUUGCAUUCACCGAAAGAAGCUUAGUGGCGAACGGGUGAGUAACACGUAGGCAACCUGCCCAAAAGAAGGGGAUAACACUUGGAAACAGGUGCUAAUACCGCAUAACCAUGAACACCGCAUGAUGUUCGCGUAAAAGACGGCUUUUGCUGUCACUUUUGGAUGGGCCUGCGGCGUAUUAACUUGUUGGUGGGGUAACAGCCUACCAAGGUGAUGAUACGUAGCCGAACUGAGAGGUUGAUCGGCCACAUUGGGACUGAGACACGGCCCAAACUCCUACGGGAGGCAGCAGUAGGGAAUCUUCCACAAUGGACGAAAGUCUGAUGGAGCAACGCCGCGUGAAUGAAGAAGGCCUUCGGGUCGUAAAAUUCUGUUGUCAGAGAAGAAUGUGCGUGAGAGUAACUGUUCACGUAUUGACGGUAUCUGACCAGAAAGCCACGGCUAACUACGUGCCAGCAGCCGCGGUAAUACGUAGGUGGCAAGCGUUGUCCGGAUUUAUUGGGCGUAAAGGGAACGCAGGCGGUCUUUUAAGUCUGAUGUGAAAGCCUUCGGCUUAACCGAAGUAGUGCAUUGGAAACUGGAAGACUUGAGUGCAGAAGAGGAGAGUGGAACUCCAUGUGUAGCGGUGAAAUGCGUAGAUAUAUGGAAGAACACCAGUGGCGAAGGCGGCUCUCUGGUCUGUAACUGACGCUGAGGUUCGAAAGCGUGGGUAGCAAACAGGAUUAGAUACCCUGGUAGUCCACGCCGUAAACGAUGAGUGCUAAGUGUUGGAGGGUUACCGCCCUUCAGUGCUGCAGCUACGCAUUAAGCACUCCGCCUGGGGAGUACGGUCGCAAGACUGAAACUCAAAGGAAUUGACGGGGGCCCGCACAAGCGGUGGAGCAUGUGGUUUAAUUCGAAGCAACGCGAAGAACCUUACCAGGUCUUGACAUCUUCUGACAAUUCCAGAGAUGGAACGUUCCCUUCGGGGACAGAAUGACAGGUGGUGCAUGGUUGUCGUCAGCUCGUGUCGUGAGAUGUUGGGUUAAGUCCCGCAACGAGCGCAACCCUUAUUGUCAGUUGCCAUCAUUUAGUUGGGCACUCUGGCGAGACUGCCGGUGACAAACCGGAGGAAGGUGGGGAUGACGUCAAAUCAUCAUGCCCCUUAUGACCUGGGCUACACACGUGCUACAAUGGACGGUACAACGAGUCGCUAACUCGCGAGGGCAAGCUAAUCUCUUAAAGCCGUUCUCAGUUCGGAUUGCAGGCUGCAACUCGCCUGCAUGAAGUCGGAAUCGCUAGUAAUCGCGAAUCAGCAUGUCGCGGUGAAUACGUUCCCGGGCCUUGUACACACCGCCCGUCACACCAUGAGAGUUUGUAACACCCAAAGUCGGUGGGGUAACCUUUUGGAGCCAGCCGCCUAAGGUGGGACAGAUGAUUGGGGUGAAGUCGUAACAAGGUA
rnacentral:rRNA from 1 species